UACAGAGGGUGCAAGCGUUAAUCGGAAUUACUGGGCGUAAAGCGCACGCAGGCGGUUGGUUAAGUCAGAUGUGAAAGCCCCGGGCUCAACCUGGGAAUUGCAUUUGAAACUGGCCAACUAGAGUACGUGAGAGGGGGGUAGAAUUCCAAGUGUAGCGGUGAAAUGCGUAGAGAUUUGGAGGAAUACCAGUGGCGAAGGCGACCCCCUGGCACGAUACUGACGCUCAGGUGCGAAAGCGUGGGGAGCAAACAGG
rnacentral:rRNA from 1 species